GACGGACGGUGCAAGCGUUGCUCGGAAUCACUGGGCGUAAAGGGUGCGUAGGCGGCCGUGCAAGUCUGGCGUGAAAGCCCCGGGCUCAGCCCGGGAAGUGCGCUCGAAACUGCGCGGCUCGAGUGCCGGAGGGGAGAGUGGAAUUCCUGGUGUAGCGGUGAAAUGCGUAGAUAUCAGGAGGAAUACCGGUGGCGAAAGCGACUCUCUGGACGGCAACUGACGCUGAGGCGCGAAAGCUAGGGGAGCGAACGGG
rnacentral:rRNA from 1 species